GAUGAACGCUAGCGGCAGGCCUAACACAUGCAAGUCGAGGGGUAGCAGGAUUAAGCUUGCUUAAUUGCUGACGACCGGCGCACGGGUGCGUAACGCGUAUGCAACCUACCUUAUACUGGGGUAUAGCCCGGAGAAAUUCGGAUUAAUCCCCCAUAGUACUAAUGAAUCGCAUGGUUUAUUAGUUAAAGCAUUGCGGUAUAAGAUGGGCAUGCGUCCUAUUAGCUAGAUGGUGAGGUAACGGCUCACCAUGGCUACGAUAGGUAGGGGGCCUGGGAGUGUGGUCCCCCCAACAGGUACUGAGAGACGGACCAGACUCAUACGGGAGGCAGCAGUUAGAAAUAUUGGUCAAUGGGCGCAAGCCUGAACCAGCCAUGCCGCGUGCAGGAAGAAUGCCCUAUGGGUUGUAAACUGCUUUUAUUUGGGAAUAAACCUCUUUACGUGUAGAGAGCUGAAGGUACCAAAUGAAUAAGCACCGGCUAACUCCGUGCCAGCCGCCACUGUAA
rnacentral:rRNA from 1 species